GGUGCUAUAGUGUAGUGGUUAUCACUCGGGAUUUUGAAGAUGACUUUCCCGAAACCCAGGUUCGAACCCUGGUAGCACCU
rnacentral:tRNA from 1 species